UUAAAUUGAAGAGUUUGAUCAUGGCUCAGAUUGAACGCUGGCGGCAGGCCUAACACAUGCAAGUCGAACGGUAACAGAAAUCAGCUUGCUGAUUUGCUGA
rnacentral:rRNA from 1 species